GUUUAUAAUGAGGUAUACCGCCAUCUAAAGGCAGGAGGAACUCCAUGCUCUUCGAUCUUCUUGUCAAAUUAGCAUUAUCUAGUGGCAAAGUUGAUGAUUUACAAGUUCUCAACUAUCCACAGCCAACGAAGAAUUACUGGCCAAUCAAAGCCUGAUGAAACUGAUCAACAGAAGAUGAAACAUCAUCUUAUCUUAAACCACUGGACCUCUCAGCUUGUCAGCAGACCUGGGACAUCAUCAUGUCAUCCUGCACUCUGACCUGAUAGGACGACUUGAUGAGAUCAAAAAUCUCAAUCUGAGGAGGAGGUUCAUCUCCACUUGUCAGCAAGGCGUGCAGGUGAGGGAUUGGCAGAGCUCCGGUCUGAUUAUUCACCACAUUGUCCAGGACAAAAGGGCAGCCAUAUUGUCAUGGAGAACAGUCAAUGCCACCUGCAGACAGAUUCACAGCUUUCAGAGGUCAGAUGUUUGACACACAAGUACAGUAUUAAGCUUAAAAUGUAUAUAACAGAUUUUGGUGGGUCACUAA